UACGUAGGGUGCAAGCGUUAUCCGGAAUUACUGGGCGUAAAGCGUCCGCAGGUGGAUUUUUAAGUCAGAUAUUAAAUCAACAGGCUCAACUUGUUGGCCGUAUCUGAUACUGGAAGUCUUGAGGGCAGAAGAGGUAAACGGAAUUCCCGGUGGAGCGGUUAAAUGCUUAGAUAUCGGGAAGAACACCAAUGGCGAAGGCAGUUUACUGGGAUGCACCUGACACUAAGGGACGAAAGCGUGGGGAGCGAUCGGG
rnacentral:rRNA from 1 species